rnacentral:rRNA from 1 species
GAUGAACGCUGGCGGCGUGCUUAACACAUGCAAGUCGAACGAAGCACCUUAGACAGAAGCCUUCGGGCGGAAGACUUUGGUGACUUAGUGGCGGACGGGUGAGUAACGCGUGGGUAACCUGCCCUGUACCGGGGGACAACAGUUGGAAACGACUGCUAAUACCGCAUAAGCGCACAGCAUCGCAUGAUGCAGUGUGAAAAACUCCGGUGGUACAGGAUGGACCCGCGUCUGAUUAGCUAGUUGGUGAGGUAACGGCUUACCAAGGCAACGAUCAGUAGCCGAAUUGAGAGAGUGAUCGGCCACAUUGGGACUGAGACACGGCCCAAACUCCUACGGGAGGCAGCAGUGAGGAAUAUUGCACAAUGGGGGAAACCCUGAUGCAGCGACGCCGCGUGAAGGAAGAAGUAUUUCGGUAUGUAAACUUCUAUCAGCAAGGAAGAAAAUGACGGUACUUGACUAAGAAGCCCCGGCUAAAUACGUGCCAGCCGCCGCCGUAA